CAAUGGGGGAACCCUGAUGCAGCGACGCCGCGUGGAGGAAGAAGGUCUUCGGAUUGUAAACUCCUGUUGUUGAGGAAGAUAAUGACGGUACUCAACAAGGAAGUGACGGCUAACUACGUGCCAGCAGCCGCGGUAAAACGUAGGUCACAAGCGUUGUCCGGAAUUACUGGGUGUAAAGGGAGCGCAGGCGGGAGAACAAGUUGGAAGUGAAAUCCAUGGGCUCAACCCAUGAACUGCUUUCAAAACUGUUUUUCUUGAGUAGUGCAGAGGUAGGCGGAAUUCCCGGUGUAGCGGUGGAAUGCGUAGAUAUCGGGAGGAACACCAGUGGCGAAGGCGGCCUACUGGGCACCAACUGACGCUGAGGCUCGAAAGUGUGGGUAGCAAACAGGAUUAGAUACCCUGGUAGUCCAAGGGCGAAUUC
rnacentral:rRNA from 1 species